GCCGUUGUAGCUCAGCUGGUAGAGUGCGUCCUUGGUAAGGACGAGGUCACGGGUUCAAGUCCCGUCAAUGGCUCCA
rnacentral:tRNA from 1 species